CAGUCGCCACGGUAAUACGAAAGGUCCAAGCGUUACUCGGAAUUACUGGACGUAAAGCGCGCGUAGGCGGUCUUGUAUGUCGAUUGUGAAAGCCCCGGGCUCAACCUGGGAACUGCAGUCGAAACUGCAAGACUUGAAUGUUGGAGAGGUUAGGGGAAUACCUAGUGGAGAAGUGAAAUUCGUAGAGAUUAGGUGGAACACCAGAGGCGAAGGCGCCUAACUGGCCAAACAUUGACGCUAAGGCGCGAAAGCGUGGGUAGCAAACAGGAUUAGAUACCCCAGUAGUCCCUGUCUCUUAUAC
rnacentral:rRNA from 1 species